AUACAUAAAUAGAUAAGAUAGUAUAUGAUGAGACUGUGAUGAUUGUAAUAU
rnacentral:guide_RNA from 1 species